rnacentral:rRNA from 1 species
AUGCAGUCGAGCGGUAACAGGGGUAGCUUGCUACCCGCUGACGAGCGGCGGACGGGUGAGUAAUGCAUAGGAAUCUGCCCGAUAGUGGGGGAUAACCUGGGGAAACCCAGGCUAAUACCGCAUACGUCCUACGGGAGAAAGGGGGCUCCGGCUCCCGCUAUUGGAUGAGCCUAUGUCGGAUUAGCUAGUUGGUGAGGUAAUGGCUCACCAAGGCAACGAUCCGUAGCUGGUCUGAGAGGAUGAUCAGCCACAUCGGGACUGAGACACGGCCCGAACUCCUACGGGAGGCAGCAGUGGGGAAUAUUGGACAAUGGGCGAAAGCCUGAUCCAGCCAUGCCGCGUGUGUGAAGAAGGCCUUCGGGUUGUAAAGCACUUUCAGCGAGGAAGAACGCCUAGUGGUUAAUACCCAUUAGGAAAGACAUCACUCGCAGAAGAAGCACCGGCUAACUCCGUGCCAGCAGCCGCGGUAAUACGGAGGGUGCAAGCGUUAAUCGGAAUUACUGGGCGUAAAGCGCGCGUAGGUGGCUUGAUAAGCCGGUUGUGAAAGCCCCGGGCUCAACCUGGGAACGGCAUCCGGAACUGUCAAGCUAGAGUGCAGGAGAGGAAGGUAGAAUUCCCGGUGUAGCGGUGAAAUGCGUAGAGAUCGGGAGGAAUACCAGUGGCGAAGGCGGCCUUCUGGACUGACACUGACACUGAGGUGCGAAAGCGUGGGUAGCAAACAGGAUUAGAUACCCUGGUAGUCCACGCCGUAAACGAUGUCGACCAGCCGUUGGGUGCCUAGCGCACUUUGUGGCGAAGUUAACGCGAUAAGUCGACCGCCUGGGGAGUACGGCCGCAAGGUUAAAACUCAAAUGAAUUGACGGGGGCCCGCACAAGCGGUGGAGCAUGUGGUUUAAUUCGAUGCAACGCGAAGAACCUUACCUACUCUUGACAUCCUGCGAACUUGUGAGAGAUCACUUGGUGCCUUCGGGAACGCAGAGACAGGUGCUGCAUGGCUGUCGUCAGCUCGUGUUGUGAAAUGUUGGGUUAAGUCCCGUAACGAGCGCAACCCUUGUCCUUAUUUGCCACCGGGUAAUGCCGGGAACUCUAAAGAGACUGCCGGUGACAAA